rnacentral:rRNA from 1 species
UACGUAGGGUGCAAGCGUUAUCCGGAAUUAUUGGGCGUAAAGAGCUCGUAGGCGGUUUGUCGCGUCUGCUGUGAAAACUGGAGGCUCAACCUCCAGCCUGCAGUGGGUACGGGCAGACUAGAGUGCGGUAGGGGAGAUUGGAAUUCCUGGUGUAGCGGUGGAAUGCGCAGAUAUCAGGAGGAACACCGAUGGCGCAGGCAGAUCUCUGGGCCGUAACUGACGCUGAGGAGCGAAAGCGUGGGGAGCGAACAGG